AGAGUUUGAUCCUGGCUCAGAAUCAACGCUGGCGGCGCGCUUAACACAUGCAAGUCGAGCGAGAAAGGGGAGCAAUCCCUGAGUACAGCGGCGUACGGGUGAGUAACACGUGGGUAAUCUACCUCUUUGUGGGGAAUAACCCUGGGAAACCGGGGCUAAUACCGCAUAAGCCUGAGAAGGGAAAGCAGCAAUGCGCAGAGAGAGGAGCCCGCGGCCGAUUAGCUAGUUGGUGAGGUAAUGGCUCACCAAGGCGACGAUCGGUAGCCGGCCUGAGAGGGCACACGGCCACACUGGCACUGAAACACGGGCCAGACUCCUACGGGAGGCAGCAGUGGGGAAUCUUGCACAAUGGAGGCAACUCUGAUGCAGCGACGCCGCGUGAGCGAUGAAGCCCUUCGGGGUGUAAAGCUCUUUCGGCAGGAACGAUAAUGACGGUACCUGAAGAAGAAGCUGCGGCUAACUACGUGCCAGCAGCCGCGGUAAUACGUAGGCAGCGAGCGUUGUUCGGAAUUACUGGGCGUAAAGAGUGUGUAGGCGGUGCUCUAAGUUCGGUGUGAAAUCUCCUGGCUUAACUGGGAGGGUGCGCCGGAAACUGGAGUGCUCGAGCGUGGGAGAGGAAAGCGGAAUUCCUGGUGUAGCGGUGAAAUGCGUAGAUAUCAGGAGGAANNCCUGCGGUGUAGACGGCUUUCUGGACCAUAGCUGACGCUGAGACACGAAAGCGUGGGUAGCAAACAGAAUUAGAUACCCCCGUAGUCC
rnacentral:rRNA from 1 species